rnacentral:rRNA from 1 species
CCUACGGUGCGCAGCAGUGAGGAAUAUUGGUCAAUGGACGAGAGUCUGAACCAGCCAAGUAGCGUGCAGGAUGACUGCCCUAUGAGUUGUAAACUUCUUUUAUAUGGGGAUAAAACGUUCCACGUGUGGGAUUUUGUAUGUACCAUAUGAAUAAGGAUCGGCUAACUCCGUGCCAGCAGCCGCGGUAAUACGGAGGAUCCGAGCGUUAUCCGGUUUUAUUGGGUUUAAAGGGAGCGUAGGUGGAUGGUUAAGUCAGUUGUGAAAGUUUGCGGCUCAACCUCUUCGAGCCGUUGAAACGUGUCUUCUUGAGUGAGCGAGAAGUAUGCGGAAUGUGUGGUGUAGCGGUGAAAUGCAUAGAUAUCACGCAGAACUCCGAUUGCGAAGGCAGCAUACCGGCGCUCAACUGACGCUCAUGCACGAAAGUGUGGGUAUCGAACAGGAUUAGAUACCCCUGUAGUC